UUCAAAAAUCUAGGACCAGGAGACAAAAGUGAUGUGGGAUUUCUGGCCAAUGAGACACCUGCCAACACCCAAAGACCUACAGGACGGGACAUUAUUGUUGCCACGGUGCACGAAUGAUGUCAUUUGUCAUAAAAAAGGAAUGCAAGCCUGCUGAGCAUGUACAAGGUCACCUUAAACGGAAGAGAAUGGGCAGGGGUGGCCAGGAACGCACCCUAAGUUCACUUCUAUCUUAGGCUUCCCUGUCCUCCCAAAGGCCGAGGCAAACUAGGCUAAAUCCGUUUCUCAGCCAGUUUCUCUGUGUGUAUGCACCGGUACACGUGCACAUGUGCAUGUAUGUCACAACAUUAUGACCCGGCUCAGAUAUUCAGGAAGCAGUAUGAAUGACAAGUCCAAGUUCCAUGGUUUGGGGCUUGAUCACUGCAGCCAACCCUAGCCAUCAUUAGCUGUGUUGAGCCUCGUCUCUCUGUCACUCUCACACACGCACCUGGAGAAACACAGCAGCUCACCAGGGAGAAAGUGAGGCAGGUGAGAACCUGAUGUUGCACACACACCUGCACCACGUGACUGGGCCCUGACUGACUCAACUUCUUCUCUGGGGACAGCCUACAACAUGCGAUAAUAACUGGCGAUUUCAGUGGACUUCAAGAAUUGCACGAGGCUGAAGAACAGAGAACGGCUUCCGGCUGUCUGGUUUCCUUCGGGCCAAGGUCUCUGGGCAAGGUGCUUUCCAAGCCUGUGUAACCAAGCAGAAAUCCCUAGGGAGUGUAUAAAUUCAAGUUUCUGCCAUGCAGGAGAGGAAACUGCCAUACCCACAAAUGCCUCAUCCACAGCCAACUUGACAUUCUUCACAGUGAGCCGUGAGUUCUGUAGCCUCAUGACAUACCUAAUUUGUGUUGCAUUUUGAAUAUUCUUGAAAAUGUCCAUAUAAUGAGAGGAAAACAAUAUGUGUCUAAGCAGAGCCUUGUCUCCAUGUGCAAAUCUUCUGGCAGAAGCCACAUUAAUGCUAAUGAAAUCUGAAUGCUAAAGCCCGUCCCGCAGUGGGUGGAUGGUCUCUGUGCUGAAACACAUUUUCUUCUCAUUAGCACCACCAUCUUUAUUAAUAUUAACAGUAAUAAUGAGAAUUAGGGAGGCUGGGUUCUGGCAGAACCCAGAAUUAGUGUGUGUGUGUGCCGGGG
rnacentral:lncRNA from 1 species